rnacentral:rRNA from 1 species
AACGAACGCUGGCGGCAGGCCUAACACAUGCAAGUCGAGCGGACCUUUCGGGGUCAGCGGCGGACGGGUGAGUAACGCGUGGGAAUAUGCCCUUCUCUACGGAAUAGUCCUGGGAAACUGGGGGUAAUACCGUAUACGCCCUUUGGGGGAAAGAUUUAUCGGGGAAGGAUUAGCCCGCGUUGGAUUAGGUAGUUGGUGGGGUAAUGGCCUACCAAGCCGACGAUCCAUAGCUGGUUUGAGAGGAUGAUCAGCCACACUGGGACUGAGACACGGCCCAGACUCCUACGGGAGGCAGCAGUGGGGAAUCUUAGACAAUGGGGGCAACCCUGAUCUAGCCAUGCCGCGUGAGUGAUGAAGGCCUUAGGGUUGUAAAGCUCUUUCAGCUGGGAAGAUAAUGACGGUACCAGCAGAAGAAGCCCCGGCUAAUUCCGUG